UACGUAGGAGGCAAGCGUUGUCCGGAAUUACUGGGCGUAAAGCGCGUGUAGGCGGUCUGAAUAGUCUGCUGUGAAAGCGCCUGGCUUAACCGGGCGAGGUCGGCGGAAACUCGCAGACUGGAGGCCGGUAGAGGGGGGUGGAAUUCCCGGUGUAGUGGUGAAAUGCGUAGAGAUCGGGAGGAACACCUGUGGCGAAGGCGGCCCCCUGGGCCGCGCCUGACGCUGAGACGCGAAGGCUAGGGGAGCGAACGGG
rnacentral:rRNA from 1 species